GUCAAGUUGGCCGGAUUGGUUAAGGCGGUAGACCACCGAGAGGCCCGGUGGAGGGGCUGAGGUCUUCUACUGGGGAAACCCGCUCGAGUUCGAGUCUUGCACUUGACA